GCAUAUCAAUAAGCGGAGGAAAAGAAACUAACAAGGAUUCCCCUAGUAACUGCGAGUGAAGCGGGAAGAGCUCAAAUUUGGAAUCUGGCGGCCCCGCCGUCCGAGUUGUAAUCUGGAGAAGCGYUUUCCGUGCCGGGCCGCGUACAAGUCCCUUGGAACAGGGCGUCACAGAGGGUGAGAAUCCCGUCUUCGACGCGGGCUGCCGGCGCUCUGCGAUGCGCUCUCGAAGAGUCGAGUUGUUUGGGAAUGCAGCUCAAAACGGGUGGUAAAUUCCAUCUAAAGCUAAAUAUUGGCGAGAGACCGAUAGCGAACAAGUACCGUGAGGGAAAGAUGAAAAGCACUUUGGAAAGAGAGUAAAACAGUACGUGAAAUUGUUGAAAGGGAAACGCUUGGAGUCAGUCGCGUCUUCCGGAACUCAGCCGCGCUCCCGCGCGGUGCACUUUCCGGCUCGACGGGUCAGCAUCGGCUUCGGGGGGCGGACAAGGGCGCGGGGAAGGUGGCAGCUCCGGCUGUGUUAUAGCCCCGCGUCGCGCGCGUCCCCCGGGACCGAGGAAUCCGGCGCUCGCCGCCCGGGAUGCUGGCGUAAUGGCUUUAAACGACCCGUCUUGAAACACGGACCA
rnacentral:rRNA from 1 species